UGGCCCAGAUCGUUUACCGUGAAAAAAUUAGAGUGUUCAAAGCAGGCAGAUCCAAUUUUCUGCCACCGAAUACAUUAGCAUGGGAUAAUGGAAUAGGACCCUGUCCUCCUAUUUUCAGUUGGUUUGCCGCGAGGACCAGGGUAAUGAUUAAUAGGGAUAGUUGGGGGCAUUAAUAUUUAAUUGUCAGAGGUGAAAUUCUUGGAUUUAUGAAAGAUUAACUUCUGCGAAAGCAUCUGCCAAGGAUGUUUUCAUUAAUCAAGAACGAAAGUUAGGGGAUCGAAGACGAUCAGAUACCGUCGUAGUCUUAACCAUAAACGAUGCCGACCAGCGAUUAGGAGACGUUGAAUACAAAACACCACCAUGCGCAUUGCGGUCGUCUUUGGUGUCGCUCACAAGGCGGCACCGGGGCGGCUUAGCUCGCAUGGCACCGGUGAAUGACUCCCCUAGCAGCUUG
rnacentral:rRNA from 1 species